GGGUUGUCAUGCCAAUGGCAUUGCCCGGUAGCUAAGUGCGGAAAAGAUAAGCGCUGAAAGCAUCUAAGCGCGAAACUUGCCUCAAGAUGAGUCUUCCCUGGGCCUUYAAGGCCCCUGAAGGAACGUUUAAGACUAAGACGUUGAUAGGCUGGGUGUGUAAGUGCAGCGAUGCAUUGAGCUAACCAGUACUAAUGAUCCGUGAGGCUUAACCUUACAACACCGAAGGUGUUU
rnacentral:rRNA from 1 species